UCCUUUUUUACUGGCAGUGCUGAAAAUAUAUAGUUUGCGUCAAGUAACUAUAGAUUUUCAGUACUGGCAGUGAAUAAAGGAAUACAGCCAGUGUAACGCAGUUAUUAAGAUGGGGAGUUCAUAAUUGUCAACCGAAAGAGGCUGUUGGAGUCAUCUGCAAGACCGCGGUCAACACUUGUCAGGAAGGUUACUGGAAAUGUGACAAUAGUUCAACUUGCAUACCGACUUCUUUUAUUUGCGACGAGGUAGUCGAUUGUCCAAAUCAUUCCGAUGAAAAUCUGGAACAUUGCUAUGCACCGUUUGAGUUGCGCUUGAUGAAUGGCAGCAAUCUUAUGCAAGGAAAAGUAGAAGUGCGUCAUCAUGGCGUGUGAGGUACCGUGUGCGAUGAUGAUUUCACAAAUGCUACGGCAAUAGUCAUUUGCAGAUCUUUGGGAUACGGUGGUAUCGCAAUAGCUAAGAAAAAUGGUUUCUUUGGGCCUGGCCAAGGACCAAUAUGGCUCGAUGAAGUAUUACAUUUGUAGCUCACAUUUAAUUUUUUAUUUCUUGCAAAAAAAGAUUUGUUACUUGAACAAUCUUUGUUGUAAAAGAUCUUUUAAUUUAUAUUUGAGUUAUAUUUAUAUUUGAGAUUUUACUUUGUUUAAUUUUUUAAUUCUUAUUUGUCUUACUUCCUUUAACAUUUCUUUAAAUAUAUAUACCUUAUAUUUAAUUAAUAUAUCUUCAAUGUCCUAAUUAUUUAGCUGUUUUUAAUUGAUAU